GGGGGCGUUUCUCUGACUUGCUGGCUCUCGUUCUUCUCAUGUUUAACUGCAAUGUAUUUGUCACCCACUGGCCACCCCCGCAACUCCUGCUUUGCAAAUGAGGAAAAGAUGUAGAAGAACAAGAUGAUCUAUGGGGCAAAGUUUUACAGAUCGUCACUCUUCCAGUAAUCGUUUUUAAGAAACCUGACCUAUAUUUCUGGAGGACCUGAAUGAAGAAAGAUCUGCGGAAGAAAACCUGGACAAUAGCCAUCUCCCAAGUUCAAACUGCUAAAAAGAAAAGACCAUUCCGAAUUCAUAAAAAGAAGCAAGGGUUUCAUGGUUUCAUUAUAUGCAAAUAGAACAAUGGAU